GACGAACGCUGGCGGCGUGCUUAANACAUGCAAGUCGAGCGGUAAGGCCCUUUCGGGGGUACACGAGCGGCGAACGGGUGAGUAACACGUGGGUGACCUGCCCUCAGCUCUGGGAUAAGCCUGGGAAACCGGGUCUAAUACUGGAUAUGACUCCAUGACGCAUGUUGUGGGGUGGAAAGCCUUGUGCGGCUGAGGAUGGGCCCGCGGCCUAUCAGCUUGUUGGUGGGGUGAUGGCCUACCAAGGCGACGACGGGUAGCCGGCCUGAGAGGGCGACCGGCCACACUGGGACUGAGACACGGCCCAGACUCCUACGGGAGGCAGCAGUGGGGAAUCUUGCGCAAUGGGCGAAAGCCUGACGCAGCGACGCCGCGUGAGGGAUGACGGCCUGGU
rnacentral:rRNA from 1 species